rnacentral:tRNA from 1 species
GGGGACUUGGCUCAGUGGUAGAGCGCUUGCCUAGCAAGCACAAGGCCCUGGGUUCGGUCCCCAGCUCCA